CCAGUCUUCCAGUCGCUGCCAAAUUAAUGAGCCCACGUCAGGUUGGGUUUACAGCUCGGCCGGGAAGCAGCCGAGUGGAAAAUGAGCUCGGGGCCGCUCCAGAGGCUCCCGCACAACUGCAGAGGCUGCCCGCGUCCCUGGCCGCCGCAAAGGCCGGGCGCAGCCCAGGAGACCGGGAGUCGCGGCCCGCGCGGUUCCGCCCUCGGCUUCGACUUUAGCUGCCUCCAGAGGGAACAGGCCUGGUGUAGCGAAACCUGGUAAGGAGGGUCACAAGAGAGAUUCUUGUGUGAGAUCUGGUGGUGGGAGAGAAGCAGCAACCUUCAUUGUUCACCUUCCAAUUCACCCUAUUGGUGUGAUACGGCAGCCAGGCCAGCAACUGCUCCAUCUUCUCCUAUACUCUCCUUCAACUGCUCUGACUCUUGGGCCAGGAGCGGUGAAAAAGAAGAGGCAAGACCGGCCCCCAGACCGACCAAAGCCCACGUGCCGCCACACCCCACGCCCAGCGCGCCGACGUCCCGCCACUGUCGCUGCCACCAUCAUGCCCAAGAGCUGAAGGGGAUGCUAGAGAUAAAGCCAAGGUGAAGGACGAACCACAGAGAAGAUCCGCGAGGUUGUCUGCUAAACCUGCUCCUCCAAAGCCAGAGCCCACGCCUAAAAGGCCCCUGCAAAGAAGGGAGAGAAGGUACCCAAAGGGAAAAAGGGAAAAGCCGAUGCUGGCAAGGAGGGAAAUAACCCUGCAGGAAAUGGAGAUGCCAAAACAGACCAGGCACAGAAAGCUGAAGGUGCUGGAGAUGGCAAGUUGAGUGUAUGCAUUUUGGAUAACAGUGUACUUCUGGUGACUGUACAGUUUGAAAUACUAUUUUUUAUCAAGUUUUAUAAAA
rnacentral:lncRNA from 1 species